rnacentral:tRNA from 1 species
CCCCCACUGGUGGAAGUGGUAGACACACCUGGUUAAGAACCAGGCGCCGCAUAAUCGGCAUAUAGGUUCGAGUCCUAUGAGGGGGA